rnacentral:misc_RNA from 1 species
CGAUCACAUUCUAUUAUGAUGGAAUCCUGCUCAUAAUUUAUUUUGAGAUGUUCUAUAAUUGGUUCAAAGAAUCGGUUAAUAAAUUCUCCUUUAAGCUCAACCCUAUGAUUCCUCUUUCCGGAAAAUAAAAUCGGACUGGGUUUAAAUUUUUGAGAAAGUUAAGAGCCGAAUCAAAUCUACAAAGGAAUUGAAUGUUUCAACAAUCUCAGAUUUAAUGUUUUUUUCUUUACAGUUUUUAUAGGAUUAUCCUUAGAAUUUAAGCUAUGAAAUUUUUGAAAAAAUAAAUCUAUCUUUAUAACAGGCCAUAUAUCAACCUUGUCUAUUUCCCAUUUAUCCA